UGCUUUUGAUUGUAAUCCUUUGGUUGGGAAUUUAUAAGGGUGUUCUUCUUUGAGAGAAUUGAAUGUUGAGCACGGCAGCAGGCCUUUGCUGUAGAGCGGAAUUUCUCAUAAUAAUCAGCCCAAUGCUUUAAGUGUCAGUCUCAAGCCUAACUCUUCACUGGUUUGUUCUCCCUUUCAAGAGGGUUAACUUAGCCAAGCUUAUUGAAAGUGGUAAUCAUGAUUCAGCUUCUCCUGUUGACAUGACAAUUACUGAAUGCUCGGUGGUGUAUAGCUUUAGAAUUGGUUCCUAUCAUGAGCAGUUGGGAAGUUUUAGCUGUGGUUUUGUGCGAUGCAGCAGAAACUUAGAAAGUCUGAGAUUGCUCGGCAUGUUGCUGUCCAUUUUUCAGUGUGAAGUCGAAGUCAAACUGUUGAGAAGCUUGGCAGCAGAAGCUGAAGGUGCCCUUGAUCUCUAACUUCCGGCACUUGAUUUACGUGGAUUUGAGAGCUCAAUUACUAGAUUUCCCUUUUAUCGAUUAUUUGUUAUGUA